CACUCCCAGAGGCUGGGGCAUUUCUCAGCUGCCUGAGGAGGGCUUCAAUUUAACUAUGUAUUAUUUUGUUAGUUGUAGAUUGGCUGGUAGAGCCACAACGUCUAUGGCGUGCUGACGACGGCUGGCUCGUGGAUGGCCCUGAGGAGGAGUUACAAGCUGAGAUCUGCAGCACCACAGACGACGGGGUGGAGGAGCCGCUCCUCUGUCCCACAGGCUAUGAGUGCCACAUCCUGACCCCCGGUGACAUGGAGAAGGGCAUCCCCAACUUCGGGGAGUGCAUCAAGCAGAGCCCACCAGCAGAAGAGCCCCUCAUAAGAGACACAGAAUAUCCAGAGGGUAACACCAAGAACGUGGCGGAACAUGGAAGAGGGCAAUAGAGGCCCUUUCGGUAAAGCAGGCAGCUGCGAAUUUGGAAGAACAUUCCUCACUCUCGGCUAAGCCUUGGAAACAGAUGUGCAAAAAAAUGCUUUGACCUCCAGAAGUCAUGCCAAGCUCAGCAGAGCAGGACCUCAGAGAUGCUGAGAGGACACCUGGCUCUCAACCCCAGUGUGGGUGACUCUGCGGGAGCCGCUGACCAGCGCUGGGUCCUGUUCUGUUGUCUUGGAAACGCCUAGGAUCUCCUUUGACCCUGCAGCUCUACAGAUGCUAGGCUGAGAUAGACAGAGUUCGAUGUCUUGUUAUUUACAGCUUUAUUUCAGGUUUGACUCUGGUGGGCAUGUACCAUCCCUCCCAGAGUCUCAGAAUGUACCCAUGUUCUCAAAAUAUAUUCACUCAUCAUAAAAUGGAAAUGAACUUACCUA